ACCCUCCAAGGCUAAAUACUACCUAGUGACCGAUAGCGUAUAGUACCGUGAGGGAAAGGUGAAAAGAACCCCGGGAGGGGAGUGAAAUAGAACCUGAAACCCUGCACUUACAAGCUGUGGAAGCACAUUUCUUGUGUGACCGCGUACUUUUUGUAGAACGGGCCAACGAGUUACGUUAAGUAGCAAGGUUAAGCACUUAAGGUGUGGAGCCGUAGCGAAAGCGAGUUUUAACUGAGCGGUCAGUUAAUUGACGUAGACCCGAAACCGGGCGACCUACCCAUGAGCAGGAUGAAGCGAAAGUAAAAUUUCGUGGAGGUCCGAACCCACGAGCG
rnacentral:rRNA from 1 species